rnacentral:rRNA from 1 species
CUACGGGGCGCUGCAGUGGGGAAUAUUGCACAAUGGAGGAAACUCUGAUGCAGCAACGCCGCGUGGAGGAUGACACUUUUCGGGGCGUAAACUCCUUUUAUAUAGGAAGAAGAUGACGGUACUAUAUGAAUAAGCGCCGGCUAACUCCGUGCCAGCAGCCGCGGUAAUACGGAGGGCGCAAGCGUUACUCGGAAUCACUGGGCGUAAAGAGCGUGUAGGCGGAUUAAAAAGUCAGAAGUGAAAUCCUAUAGCUUAACUAUAGAACUGCUUCUGAAACUCUUAAUCUAGAAUAUGGGAGAGGUAGAUGGAAUUUCUGGUGUAGGGGUAAAAUCCGUAGAGAUCAGAAGGAAUACCGAUUGCGAAGGCGAUCUACUAGAACAUUAUUGACGCUGAGACGCGAAAGCGUGGGGAGCAAACAGGAUUAGAUACCCCGGUAGUU